rnacentral:rRNA from 1 species
GCUGAAGCCUGGUGCUUGCACCGGGUGGAUGAGUGGCGAACGGGUGAGUAACACGUGAGUAACCUGCCCCUGACUUCGGGAUAAGCCCGGGAAACUGGGUCUAAUACCGGAUACGACUGCCGGACGCAUGUCUGGUGGUGGAAAGUUUUUUCGGUUGGGGAUGGGCUCGCGGCCUAUCAGUUUGUUGGUGAGGUAAUGGCUCACCAAGACGACGACGGGUAGCCGGCCUGAGAGGGCGACCGGCCACACUGGGACUGAGACACGGCCCAGACUCCUACGGGAGGCAGCAGUGGGGAAUAUUGCACAAUGGGGGAAACCCUGAUGCAGCGACGCAGCGUGCGGGAUGACGGCCUUCGGGUUGUAAACCGCUUUCAGCAGGGAAGAAGCGCAAGUGACGGUACCUGCAGAAGAAGUACCGGCUAACUACGUGCCAGCAGCCGCGGUAAUACGUAGGGUACGAGCGUUGUCCGGAAUUAUUGGGCGUAAAGAGCUCGUAGGUGGUUGGUCACGUCUGCUGUGGAAACGCAACGCUUAACGUUGCGCGUGCAGUGGGUACGGGCUGACUAGAGUGCAGUAGGGGAGUCUGGAAUUCCUGGUGUAGCGGUGAAAUGCGCAGAUAUCAGGAGGAACACCGGUGGCGAAGGCGGGACUCUGGGCUGUAACUGACACUGAGGAGCGAAAGCAUGGGGAGCGAACAGGAUUAGAUACCCUGGUAGUCCAUGCCGUAAACGUUGGGCACUAGGUGUGGGG